AUUGAACGCUGGCGGCAGGCCUAACACAUGCAAGUCGAGCGGAGCGGCGGACGGGUGAGUAAUGCCUAGGAAUCUGCCUGGUCGUGGGGGAUAACGUCCGGAAACGGGCGCUAAUACCGCAUACUAUCAGAUGAGCCUAGGUCGGAUUAGCUAGUUGGUGGGGUAAAGGCUCACCUAGGCGACGAUCCCUAGCUGGGCUGAGCGGAUGACCAGCCACACUGGAACUGAGACACGGUCCAAACUCCUACGGGAGGCAGCGGUGGGGAAUAUUGGACAAGGGGCGCAAGCCUGAUGCAGCCAUGCCGCGUGUGUGAAGAAGGCCUUCGGGUUGUAAAGCACUUUCAGCGGGGAGGCGUUACCCGCAGAAGAAGCACCGGCUAACUCCGUGCCAGCAGCCGCGGUAAUAC
rnacentral:rRNA from 1 species